GCACUCGUAGCUCAGUUGGAUAGAGCGAGGGACUCCUAAGCCUUAGGCCACUGGUUCGAUUCCAGUCGAGUGCACCA
rnacentral:tRNA from 2 species